UUCCAGGAGCCCUGGUAUUCCUUGAACAUGCAUACCUUUCCCAGCGUGAGGGACAUGGACCGUGCCGUGCGAGGGACCCCAUCUUCUGCAGCAGGAGGGAGCAGAGAAGAGAACACAAGGAUUCCUGUUGCUAAAAGGUCUGUUUUCUCCUGCUGGCCACCCUCAUCAGCCAGAGUCCAAACCCUGACAGUGCCCACAGAGAGAUCUGGUCCAAGGCACCAACCUCUUCCUGCUGGACUGAGAAAGAGUCUCCGACUGUGUCUCUCUUUACCUCAGCUUUUGCACACCUCCAAUAUAUUGUCCACUGAAGUCAGAAAAAUCUAAAAAUAAAGCCUGAUUACAUCAUGAGGUAUAAACUUA